rnacentral:rRNA from 1 species
AGAGUUUGAUCCUGGCUCAGAUGAACGCUGGCGGCAGGCCUAACACAUGCAAGUCGAACGGUAACAGGAAACAGCUUGCUGUUUCGCUGACGAGUGGCGGACGGGUGAGUAAUGUCUGGGAAACUGCCUGAUGGAGGGGGAUAACUACUGGAAACGGUAGCUAAUACCGCAUAACGUCGCAAGACCAAAGAGGGGAACCUUCGGGCCUCUUGCCAUCGGAUGUGUCCAGAUGGGAUUAGCUAGUAGGUGGGGUAACGGCUCACCUAGGCGACGAUCCCUAGCUGGUCUGAGAGGAUGACCAGCCACACUGGAACUGAGACACGGUCCAGACUCCUACGGGAGGCAGCAGUGGGGAAUAUUGCACAAUGGGCGCAAGCCUGAUGCAGCCAUGCCGCGUGUAUGAAGAAGGCCUUCGGGUUGUAAAGUACUUUCAGCGGGGAGGAAGGGAGUAAAGUUAAUACCUUUGCUCAUUGACGUUACCCGCAGAAGAAGCACCGGCUAACUCCGUGCCAGCAGCCGCGGUAGUACGGAGGGUGCAAGCGUUAAUCGGAAUUACUGGGCGUAAAGCGCACGCAGGCGGUUUGUUAAGUCAGAUGUGAAAUCCCCGGGCUCAACCUGGGAACUGCAUCUGAUACUGGCAAGCUUGAGUCUCGUAGAGGGGGGUAGAAUUCCAGGUGUAGCGGUGAAAUGCGUAGAGAUCUGGAGGAAUACCGGUGGCGAAGGCGGCCCCCUGGACGAAGACUGACGCUCAGGUGCGAAAGCGUGGGGAGCAAACAGGAUUAGAUACCCUGGUAGUCCACGCCGUAAACGAUGUCGACUUGGAGGUUGUGCCCUUGAGGCGUGGCUUCCGGAGCUAACGCGUUAAGUCGACCGCCUGGGGAGUACGGCCGCAAGGUUAAAACUCAAAUGAAUUGACGG